GCUGGGGGGUAUUUUAUACCCAACACCAGUCCCCCUAUUUUCGAGUUCGAGUUUCGAAUGAAGGAAGUAUAAAAAAAUUUUCACAGCCAAAGUUGUCCCCUUGAAUCCUGUGCACGAUCACCCUCAGAUAUUCUGGCAUUUAAUGCGCGCGUGCUGGAGUCUUUUCAAAUUGGGGCGAUCUGAAGGGACCUUUCAGAAUUUUCACUGGUGCGUUGGCCCAGGUACGGUGCAGUAAUGGCUCUGUCAGCUGUCAGCCGCUUUUAGCCGCCUGCGGUGGCGAGUGGGACACGUGGCGAGCAUGGGUCGGCCUGGGGAGAUCCACGAUCAUU
rnacentral:lncRNA from 1 species